rnacentral:rRNA from 1 species
UCAUGCGUGGGGGCACCCUGACCGCGAUGCCGCGUGGGUGAUGAAGGCCUUCGGGUUGUAAAGCCCUUUCGGCGGGGACGAUAGUGACGGUACCCGCAGAAGAAGCCUCGGCUAACUCCGUGCCAGCAGCCGCGGUAAGACGGAGGAGGCUAGCGUUGUUCGGAAUUACUGGGCGUAAAGCGCGCGCAGGCGGCUUAGCAAGUCAGGGGUGGAAGCCCGGGGCUCAACCUCGGAACUGCCUUUGAGACUGCUAGGCUCGAGACCGAGAGAGGAGAGUGGAAUUCCCAGUGUAGAGGUGAAAUUCGUAGAUAUUGGGAAGAACACCAGUGGCGAAGGCGGCUCUCUGGCUCGGUACUGACGCUGAGGCGCGAAA